AACGAACGCUGGCGGCAGGCCUAACACAUGCAAGUCGAACGCCCUAGCAAUAGGGAGUGGCAGACGGGUGAGUAACGCGUGGGAACCUUCCCAAUGGUACGGAAUAGCCCAGGGAAACUUGGAGUAAUACCGUAUAAGCCCGUAAGGGGAAAGAUUUAUCGCCAUUGGAUGGGCCCGCGUAGGAUUAGCUAGUUGGUGAGGUAACGGCUCACCAAGGCGACGAUCCUUAGCUGGUCUGAGAGGACGAUCAGCCACACUGGGACUGAGACACGGCCCAGACUCCUACGGGAGGCAGCAGUGGGGAAUAUUGGACAAUGGGCGCAAGCCUGAUCCAGCCAUGCCGCGUGAGUGAUGAAGGCCUUAGGGUUGUAAAGCUCUUUUGGCGGGGACGAUAAUGACGGUACCCGCAGAAUAAGCCCCGGCUAACUUCGUGCCAGCCGCCGCCGUAAUAC
rnacentral:rRNA from 1 species